GAAGAAUGAUAAUCGAGGUAAAGCUUCUAACUUCGACCUCUAGCGGUGUAAUUCCGUUAAUACUUCU
rnacentral:tRNA from 1 species